UACGUAGGGUGCAAGCGUUGUCCGGAAUUAUUGGGCGUAAAGAGCUCGUAGGCGGUGUGUCGCGUCGGCCGUGAAAACCUGCAGCUUAACUGUGGGCUUGCGGUCGAUACGGGCAUCACUGGAGUUCGGCAGGGGAGACUGGGAUUCCUGGUGUAGCGGUGAAAUGCGCAGAUAUCAGGAGGAACACCGGUGGCGAAGGCGGGUCUCUGGGCCGAUACUGACGCUGAGGAGCGAAAGCGUGGGGAGCGAACAGG
rnacentral:rRNA from 1 species